rnacentral:misc_RNA from 1 species
UCCUAGUUAACCUAGGCAGUCUCGCGUGAAAAAUACAACACACGACAAGGGUUGCGCUCGUUGCGGGACUUAACCCAACAUCUCACGACACGAGCUGACGACGACCAUGCAGCACCUGUCACUGAUCCAGCCGAACUGACUCCCGUGUUUCCACGGGAUAUGAUCAGGAUGUCAAGCCCUGGUAAGGUUCUUCGCUUAGCGUCGAAUUAAACCACACGCUCCACCGCUUGUGCGGGCCCCCGUCAAUUCCUUUGAGUUUUAAGCUUGCGCUCGUACUCCCCAGGCGGGGUGCUUAACGCGUUAGCUUCGAUACCCAGGGGUUCUAUGCCCCGAAUACCUAGCACCCAUCGUUUACGGCGUGGACUA